rnacentral:rRNA from 1 species
AGCUCAAAUUUGAAAUCUAGUAGCCUUCGGCUGCUCGAGUUGUAAUCUAGAGAAGUGUUUUCCGUGCCGGCCCAUGUACAAGUCCCUUGGAACAGGGCGUCAUAGAGGGUGAGAAUCCCGUCCUUGACAUGGACCCCCGGUGCUCUGUGAUACACUUUCAACGAGUCGAGUUGUUUGGGAAUGCAGCUCAAAAUGGGUGGUGAAUUCCAUCUAAAGCUAAAUAUUGGCGAGAGACCGAUAGCGAACAAGUACCGUGAGGGAAAGAUGAAAAGCACUUUGGAAAGAGAGUUAAACAGUACGUGAAAUUGUUGAAAGGGAAACGAUUGAAGUCAGUCAUGCUCUUUGGUAUUUAUAUCAUUGAGUGGGGUCAACAUCAGUUUUGAGCGAUGGAUAAAGGCACUAGGAAGGUAGCACUCUCGGGUGAACUUAUAGCCUAGCGUCAUAUACAUUGUUUGGGACUGAGGAACGCAGCAUGCCUUUAUGGCCGGGAUUCGUCCACGUACAUGCUUAGGAUGUUGACAUAAUGGNUUUAAACGACCCG